rnacentral:rRNA from 1 species
GAUGAACGCUGGCGGCGUGCCUAAUACAUGCAAGUCGAGCGAACAGACGAGGAGCUUGCUCCUCUGACGUUAGCGGCGGACGGGUGAGUAACACGUGGAUAUCCUACCUAUAAGACUGGGAUAACUUCGGGAAACCGGAGCUAAUACCGGAUAAUAUAUUGAACCGCAUGGUUCAAUAGUGAAAGACGGUUUUGCUGUCACUUAUAGAUGGAUCCGCGCCGCAUUAGCUAGUUGGUAAGGUAACGGCUUACCAAGGCAACGAUGCGUAGCCGACCUGAGAGGGGGAAUCGGCCAACCUGGACCUGGGACACGGUCCAAAUCCCUAGGGGAGGCAGCAGUGGGGAAUUUUCCGCAAGGGGCGAAAGCCUAACGGGGCAACGCCGCGGGAGUGAUGAGGGUCUUCGGAUCGUAAACCUCUGUUAUUAGGAAAGAACAAAUGUGUAAGUAACAAUGCACGUCUUGACGGUACCUAAUCAGAAAGCCACGGCUAACUACGU